ACUGUACUAGCACCCUACUUCAAUCUUGCAAGAUAAUUCUUGCAAUUAUUCUCCCAAUAUCCAAAUUUAUCACAAAAUGAACAGAUAAUAUUCAAAGGGAUAUUUUUUGCCUUCUCAUUAUUACUGACUGAUCUAGAUCAGAAAUAUCCAGAAUAUCGGAGUUCUUCUCCGAUACAAACCUAAUUUACAAGUUCCUCAAUCAAUCUACAUAGUU
rnacentral:lncRNA from 1 species